GCGGUCCUCCUCAGCUACUGUGGAAAGCUGAGGAGAGAUGUGAAUAGAGAGACCUGACAGAUGGAUGUACUGAUUUAGUUGUGUUUCACACAGAGAAUAAACUCUCCUGUGGAUGGCAAACCCCUGUCUACGAUUCGUCACUAAAGACACAAUGCAGAGAUUUAACUUGUUGGCUGUGUAGAGAUGAGACCG